rnacentral:rRNA from 1 species
AUUCGACAAUCCGCGCUUAACCUUACCUAACUUAGUAACAAUAAAAUGAUAAUGAAACUAUUGUUUCAGAAGAUGCAUGGCUGUCUCCAGUUCGUAAUGUGAAUUGUAGGAUUAAGUUCUUCUAACGAACGCGACCCCUAUGAAAUAUUAAGUUUUAUUUCAUACUGACAGUGAAAGCUGUAGGAAGGAGGGGACCACGUCAAGUCUUUAUGUCUUUUAUAGUUAGGGCUACACAUGUGUUAUAAUGGCAACUACAACGUGAAAUAUAUUAGCGAUAAUAUAUAAAUCAUUAAAAGUUGUCUUGUUCGGAUAGAAAAAUGAAAUCCUUUUUCUUGAAGACAGAUUGAGAUGUAAUCGGAGA